rnacentral:tRNA from 1 species
GCGGGCGUUACAUAGUGGUAAUGUCUCUGCCUUCCAAGCAGAAGUCGCGAGUUCGAUUCUCGCCGCCCGCUCCA